rnacentral:rRNA from 1 species
UGGGGAAUAUUGCACAAUGGAGGGAACUCUGAUGCAGCGACGCCGCGUGAGUGAUGAAGGAAUUCGUUUCGUAAAACUCUGUUCUAUGGGAAGAAAAGGACUGUACCAUAGGAGAAAGCUCCGGCUAACUACGUGCCAGCAGCCGCGGUAAUACGUAUGGAGCGAGCGUUGUCCGGAAUUAUUGGGCGUAAAGGGUGCGCAGGCGGCUUUACAAGUUGGAUGUGAAAUAUUGUGGCUCAACCACAAACGUGCAUCCAAAACUGCAAAGCUUGAGUUAAGGAGAGGUAAGUGGAAUUCCUGGUGUAGCGGUGGAAUGCGUAGAUAUCAGGAGGAAUACCGGUGGCGAAGGCGACUUACUGGACUUAAACUGACGCUCAGGCACGAAAGCGUGGGGAGCAAACAGG